UGGGUGGGCAUAUUACAGCGCUUUGUUGAGAAAGCGCUGUAAUAUGCCCACCCAUAUAUGAAAUUAUGGUUGGACAUUUUACAGCGCUUUUUUGAAAAAGCGCUGUAAAAUGCAGACCAUAAUAUGA
rfam:Cicer arietinum chromosome Ca7, whole genome shotgun sequence.